AGAGUUUGAUCCUGGCUCAGAAUGAACGCUGGCGGCGUGCCUAACACAUGCAAGUCGGAUGUGCCCGCAAGGGUGCAUGGCAGACGGGUGAGUAACGCGUGGGGAAUCUACCUCUUUGUGGGGAAUAACGCUCCGAAAGGAGUGGUAAUACCGCAUGAGAUCCAUGGCUGGAAUGUUGUGGAUGAAACCUGGGGACCCUCGGGCCUGGGGCAAGGAGAGGAUCCUGCGUCUGAUUAGCUAGUUGGUGAGGUAACGGCCCACCAAGGCAACGAUCAGUAGCCGGCCUGAGAGGGUGAUCGGCCACACUGGAACUGAGACACGGUCCAGACUCCUACGGGAGGCAGCAGUGGGGAAUUUUGCGCAAUGGGCGAAAGCCUGACGCAGCAACGCCGCGUGGGUGAUGAA
rnacentral:rRNA from 1 species